ACAAGCCCUGAUUGGCGGGAAGCCGGAGCGGGGGGAGCGGCCGCCUUUUCCCGCGUCCCGAGAAGCGAAGGCUGAGCCGCUUUGCCGGAGGGGGCACAAAGGGAGCGGGCGUUCCGAGGCUCCCGCAGCUCCGGCCGCUCCGAGGCGCCCCAGCCCCGGGUUGGAAGCCUGCCUAGCUCACGGUUCCGGGCAGGCCCGUCUGUCACACGCGGACGUCAGUUUGUAAUGGAAGCUUUUUGCUUUUCGAAACCUGCGGGGACAGUUGCAGAGCCUCGUGUUCCAGCCCCCCUCCCCCCCCCCAAAGCAGUCCGAUAUGUGUCCCUGUGAGCUCCAGUAGACGCCCCGGGCUUAUGUAACCAUGGCGCUGCCCAAGGAAAAUCUAAUCAGACCCGCGAAAAUAAACAAAAAGAGAAGCGGAACAAAAGUCAAGCAAACCCCAGAAAGAGCCGGGAUGCCACGGAGUGAGCCUCGCUGGCUGCCCCGUCACCCAGCGGUCGGAGCCGGUCUGAGCCCCAUCAGCCGAUCCCCAGGCGGUGGCGCAAGGGCAGGUGUGAACGUCCCAUGCUAACAAAUUAGCAUAUUAAGCCGCAUUCUGUUAUGCAUAUAUGCAAAUGCACGCGUGUGAUGUAUGUGUGCACAUGUUUGUGUGUGUGUUGGUGUAUAUGUAUACAUUUAUUCGUGCAUAUAUAUUCAUGCAUGUGCAUACGUAUCUUCUUCCAAUGAGUUUUACAAAGCCACGGAGGGACAGGUGAGAAGAAGCUGGGAAUCGGCCAUUUUAGCCAACGCGCCUUUGGGAGAGAGGGAGGUGUGUCCGGCCGUUGUGUGGGGGGAAUGGCUUCCGAGCCACUCAGCUCGGCCCUGGCUCGUCGCCCACUUCAAGAAGCUCUGCCUUGAUUUCCUCAAGAUUGUGCAGGUUUCCAAGCUGGAUGAGUCCAAGCUAAUAAUGCAUCCUUUCUUCACCUGACUGUUGACUGAUCAACACGCUGUUCCUUCAGGCCAGGAAACAGCUUCCCCUCAGGUCCUCCCCAGCUGGCUCCGGAACAGCUCCCACCAUCCUCUUGGCAGAACAUCAAGUCCAUCUUCCAAUAAAUUGUUGUUCUAUUUGGUUUCCCCUUUUGGGGCCUAGUGCUAAUUCUGGUGCAGGAUGGGAGAAGGGGAACUAGAACCCCAUGAGCUGGGGCACAGACGUGAUCAUCUGAAAAGACAAGCCAUUUAUAGUUUGACACCCCAGCUCAUGGGAUUGUAGUUCCCCCUUCUUCUUCCAUUAUUAUGGCUGGAGUUGGGAGAAGCCCCCCCCCCAUCCCCAGGGUUACAUGUGAUCUAGAGAUGUUCGAAGUAAAUUUCUCAUAGUAAUCAUGUUCAAUAUGGUGGUUAGGAGAGUAUUAACAGGGUCAAUAAGUUUAUUACAAACGUGAGCUAAUAUUGUAAAGUACUUACCUGAUGCUAGGAGGCACUUAAUUAAUGCUUAUUUUCUCCCUCC
rnacentral:lncRNA from 1 species